rnacentral:lncRNA from 1 species
GUGCUUGGAGAAAUGCAUAGAGUCCUUGCUCCCCACAAUGAUGAAUUCUUCGAGGAAGUCAAAAUGAGAUGGGAGGAUUGCUGCGCCAGGGUCAUUUUACGGAGUAUGAAAGAAGGCAAUAAAGCCACAUAUAAACAGGGAUAAAAGUAAGUUUGCCUUUUUGAUACAUGUAGUUAGAUGCGUGAAUGCUUCUUCUCAAAAAACCCUUUGUUCUAUGUGUUUCUUCUUCAAGAAGAACAAUUCAAUUUAUUGUGUUUCAGUGGAAGCCAACUUUGCACUGGUGAAGGCCCUUCCCAUUCUCUUUCCCUCGGUGGCACCUCCAUCAAAGAAACUGGGAUGUGCUAGUGAAGCUUUACUGCAUGUUCAGGAGUCAACAGAAGAUCCAAACGUCUUCUUCCAGAAGAAAGGCCUUUCAAGUCCAGUCUUGGUGUUCAAUGGCCAGUGACGUUUGAAAAAGAAAAGCUUCACUAGGGUCUGAUUUUCUAAAGGGCAUAUUAUUACACACUACAUCUGACCUACACAAAAUGCGUGGCCGCCCUUCUGUCAUUCAGACAGAUCCUUCAGGAUACAAUUCACAAGCGGGACAGCACCACCACAUGAAAGAGCAUUAAAGUAAAGAAUUUGUUGGAAGAUGAACUGCUUUUGCAGUUUAAUGUUUAUGCCUGUUCUUUAGAUGAGUAUUCUAAUUGUGUUCUUAAAGAAACUGUUGUAUUCCUAGAAAAUUUGGGUACAUUUGUAACACAAAUCUCAGUUUGUAAGUUGAAUAAAAGAAUCAAAAAGUGAAUUUGUUUUCAUUCUUUUUAGUAUUGAAACAAGAAAAAAUAUCUUUUGCAACUGCUUGUUUCAAGAUUUAUUUUCUGAAUUUUAGUGGGCAAUACAUUUUAAUCAAGCUCCUAUAUCCUAGUUUCUAGUUUUUUUGUCUUAAAUUACUGCUUAAAAUAAGUGUUUUUGCCUAAUUUCAAGAUUUAACCAAUUUACUAUGGCUUAGAUAUUUUUACUUAAAUCAAGACAUCUUGUUAAGUAAAAUUUACUAGCUGCACUGGCAGAUAAUUUGACUUAUUUCUAGUCAAUUUCUACUAAAAACAAGUACUUUUUUCUAGAAUUAAGAUGGUGGUUUUUUGCAGUGUACCACCAUUAUAUGACUUAAAUGGCAGAUAUGUGCACAUAUCACGUAAAAUGAUGUAACUGA